GACGAACGCUGGCGGCGUGCUUAACACAUGCAAGUCGAACGGAAAGGCCCUGCUCUUGUGGGGUGCUCGAGUGGCGAAAGGGUGAGUAACACGUGAGUAACCUGCCCUUGACUUUGGGAAAACUUCAGGAAACUGGGGCUAAUACCGGAUAGGAGCUCCUGCUGCAUGGUGGGGGUUGGAAAGUUUCGGCGGUUGGGGAUGGACUCGCGGCUUAUCAGCUUGUUGGUGGGGUAGUGGCUUACCAAGGCUUUGACGGGUAGCCGGCCUGAGAGGGUGACCGGCCACAUUGGGACUGAGAUACGGCCCAGACUCCUACGGGAGGCAGCAGUGGGGAAUAUUGCACAAUGGGCGGAAGCCUGAUGCAGCAACGCCGCGUGCGGGAUGACGGCCUUCGGGUUGUAAACCGCUUUCGCCUGUGACGAAGCGUGAGUGACGGUAAUGGGUAAAGAAGCACCGGCUAACUACGUG
rnacentral:rRNA from 1 species